rnacentral:rRNA from 1 species
UACGUAGGAGGCAAGCGUUGUCCGGAAUUACUGGGUGUAAAGCGCGUGUAGGUGGUGGGCCAAGUCUGUGGUGAAAUCGCCCGGCUCAACUGGGCGGGGUCCGUGGAAACUGGUCGACUGGAGGACGGUAGAGGCGAGUGGAAUUCCCGGUGUAGUGGUGAAAUGCGUAGAGAUCGGGAGGAACACCAGUGGCGAAGGCGACUUCCUGGCCUGUUCUUGACGCUGAGGCGCGAAAGCUAGGGUAGCAAACGGGG